AGGCAACUCUUAUAAGGAUAGCAUUUCACUGUGUUGGCUUACAGGUUCAGAGUUCAGUCCAUUAUCAUCAGGCUGGAGUAUGGUAGCAUCUAGGUAGGCAUGGUACAGGAGGAGCUAAGAGUUCUAUAUCUUCUUCUGAAGGCCGCCUGGAGAAGACUGUCUCCCACAUGGUGAGGAGGAAGGUCUCGUUGCCCGUCCCCACAGUGACAGAUUUCCUCUAACAAGGUCACACCUUCUAAUAGUGCCACUCCCUAGACCAAACAUAUUGAAACCACCACACCCUCUAUUCGUUUCUUUUCUUUCUUAACUUGCAAUCUAUCAGUGAAAGUAAGAGUGUGUUCCUUUUCCAUCUUCUGCUCUUUUAUUUCUUUUCCUUAACUCAUCCUCUUUUUCAUUUCUCUCUAAACGAAACAGACCAAUGACAAAACACCUGAGUAAUAUUUAUCCGUUAGUUCCUUAAAUGAUUGUCAGAUUUUCUUUUUCAGUAAAACUAUCUUGAAGGAGUUUUCCCAAUGGUAUACAGGCUUUAACGAUACGCUCAAUUAUUUUAUAAUUGUAGAUGGGACUGUCUAAUUUUUCUAGUGCUUCUUGAGUUGGUCUCUUUCUAGGGAUUUGUUUGUAGGUCUCCAUUUCCAGUUGUAUGACGUUCUCUUUGAUGACCCACUGCACUGAUUCUUCAUUUUCAUUGUAGGUAGCAGUUGGUUGUGCCAACUCCCCUCUAUUCCGUUGGCCUCGCCCACUUACAUUUUUUUGUUACUCCUUUCCUUCUUUUUCAUCUGUUUUCUUGUUUAGUUGGUUUUGAAGCAGAAUUCCUUGGACUUAGCAUGGCUUCAAUACUCUAUGUAACGGAAGAUGACCUUGAACACUACAUCCUCCUCCCCCUACGACCUGUGUGCUGAGAUUACAGCAUAUGCCGCCAUGUCUGGCUUUGCCUUUUCUGUUGCUGUUUGGCACAUUUUGCUAUUCCUUUUCUGUCUUCCUUUCCGAGAACUGCCUUUAAAUAAGACGUCUCUAAGGACAGUGCUGGCCGUGUGCCAGGGUUUCGGUAAGCUAGUACUUCCGUUGUAAUUCAAUUUCUGGUAUUUUCCUGGUCUCUUCAGUUUGUUGAUCUGAUAGAUUAACAUUAAUUGAUUUUUUUCAGUGUUGAAUCCUUUUAUAUCUGUGAUAGAUCAGAGUAGGGUGUGGUAUAUAAAUCUUAUUAUUAGAUUGGAUGUCAAACCACGUCCUGCCUCUCCGAUGGGAGUACCUGGGUGUCAUAGACAUGCCACCAAGUGGAGGUGGGGCAAAGUCUGAAAUGGGGUGUCCACCGUGGUUCCCAGUCUCCUUUCUGGGUACCGGGGGCAUCUAUGUGCCUGGUGAAGAGGAUAAGCAUGUGUCCAGAACAAGUGGAAUCUGGUCUGAUUCAGAGUGAGUGCCCAGUGUACUGGAUGGAUUGGAAGGAGAGAGAGCCUUCCUCAGGAGUCUUCGACAUGACUCUAGUUGAAGGCCUUCCCUGUAGCAAUUUUUAAUGAAGCAGCUCUCUGAGAUGAUCCUUGAUUGUUCAUAUUGAGGGCAGAAUGUAGACACAUACACUUUAUUUGAGGUGAACAAGACAUUAUAUAUCUCUUGCAGAAAGGAAUACCUAGGAAGGGAAGGUCAUUGGCUGAAGGCUCAAGGUUAUUUAGAUACCUCAUUGGCAUGGAGAAGAAAUCCAGGUAUUAUGCUAUAUUACUGAGCGUCCAUGGUCCUCUCAGAGGGGGAUAUGGUUAUGUGUUCAAGAGCGGAUAUAGAGACAGGCUCUACUCCUUCGGUCAGAUCUCUGAGAUUCUUGAAGUUUGAGCUCAUUCACCCUUAUAGUUCUUACACCUGUCUUAACAUGGUCCCAGAUGCCUUGCAACUGGAUCUGCCAAAAUCCUGCUGGAAACAUUUGCAUCUAACUUCACUGGCCAUAUUGAUGUAUGGUUUUCCUAUAUAUUGGCCAGAUUUUAGUAUUAAGGUGACACUGACCUCACAGAAUUACUUAUGGUAUAAAUUUUUCUUAAGUGCUUGUUACAAUUUGCUAAUUUACCAUCUGGGCUAGGUACUUUCUCUUUUUAGGAGGUGAUUUAAUAUUGGUCCAACUCUUUUAAUAGACAUAGGCAUAUUCAGAUCAUCAAUUAAUUAUUCUGUAAGUUUUAAUAGGUUGUGUCUUUCAAGGAACUGGUCUGUUUUAUCAAGGUUAUCUAAUUUGUGGCCACUGAAUUAAUCUUCCUAUUCUGUUCAUUUGUGAGACUGGUAGUGGUAUUCCUUUUUUCAUCCAUGACAUUAUAUUUAUUCAUGCCUAACUUUUACUCUCAGUGUAGCUAUUAUAGCUCUGUUCUUUCUUUGUUUCCUACAAAGAAGCUUAGCUGACAGACUGUUGGUCUUCUUUUUAUGCAUUAGAUGCUAUAAAUUCUCCUACUAGCGUUGCUUUUGCUGUAUCCUACCUGUUUUUGUUUUGUUUUGCUGUAUCCUACCUGUUUUUGUUUUGUUUUGCUGUAUCCUGGCUGGAGAGAUGGGUUUUUUGUGUGUGUGUGUGUGUGUUUUGCUAAACAUUGUCUUUGAUUGUGAUUUAUUCUUUGACCCUGGGGUUAUUUAGAAAGGUGGUAAGAUCUGAUAAUUUUGUUACCUUAAAAUUUAUCCAAAGUACAAACUUUCUCAUGCCACAAGCAGAGCUUAGUCACCUUUGCUGUAACACCCAGUCGUCACAUCUGGGGUCCUCAGGAUGCUCAGUCCAGUCACCUGUCUUAUAUAGCCCCCUUCUGCUCCAUACAAAUGCAACCUGCCAGAUUUGCUGCUCCCCGAAGCAAACAGACAAGCAUCAAUGAUACCUUUUUCAGUCAUGUUGGUCCUCCCUAAAACAAAACAAACAAACAAACAAACAAACAAACAAACAAAAAACUCCUGAGUGCUUUCUGUAUACUCAACAAUUAAAACUCCCCAUAGGAAAUCUGCUUGGGUAACAUCCUGGUCUCCAAGAUAGACUUGGACUCUCUCACAAGCCCCUCCCUCCUGCUACAAGUGAGCUCUGGGCUCUAUCUUAAGCUCCUACUUCCUGCAAGGCAGGGUGACCCAUUCUUUUUGAGAUUUGUAAGUAAUAUGCCCCUUCUGUUACUCUAUGUUUUGCUGUUUUGCCUCUUCUGUGACUGUACACCUGAACUAACCUCACCUGCUCAAAGGAUACCCUACAGCACGUCUAUCUUGGUAGAGAGAAGUUAGAUGCACGUCAGGCAAGAUGUACAAGGGUAUUUAUCAAUAUAAAUAUGUUUGCCAUAUGAUUGCCUGGUCACAAAUUGGCCAAGGCUACUCAUUGUGACAAAGAAGUGUCCUAUGGGAUCUUCAUAGGAUGGCUCGGCAGAUAAAAGUGGUGGCACAAGCCCAAUAACCUGGGUUUGAAGUUCAGAAAGCACAUUUAAAAAGCCAGAUGUGAUGAUACACAUCUGUAAUCCCAGUAUCCUUAUAGCAAGAUAGAAGGUGGAGACAGGAGAAUCUGUUGCUUAUGUACACAGUGAGACAGCAGAAACAAAGACUCUGCCUAAAAACAAACCAGGACAGAUUCCCAAAAGUUGACUUUUGACCUUCACACUUAUGCCCUGGCACAUAUGAGCCCCUGGAACCCUUUCAGGACAUGGCUAAAAUCUACAGCCACUAUUCAGAUAAAGACGUCAGUACCAAACCAGAGAAACUCUGAGAAGUGUAUUUUUUUAAAUUUUUAAGUAUAAAGUAAUCUAUUUUUUAAGAUUUAAAAUUGUAUGUAUGAGUAUUUCCCUGAAUGUAUUUAUGUAUACUACGUGCUUUCCUAGUGCCCACAAAGGCCAGAAGAGUGUGUCAGGUCCUGAAACUGGACCUAUGAAUGGUGGUGAACUUCACUGGGGUUUCUGGUAACUGAACCCUGGUCCUCUGCAAAGGCAGCAAGAUCUUACCCACCGAGCCAUCUCUCUGGUCCCCAGGAUGUGGCGAUCUUAAGGGGACUGUUAAAAUUAAGUUCCGGUUUCUUGUUUUAUGUUUUUCAAUGCACAGGGUCUCAAUCACACAAGGUAAGCACUCUACUGUUGAGCUACAUAUUCUGUCCCAUAAUUUUUAUGCUCCUUAAAAUGUGAUCAAAGAAUACAUUCCAUAGGAUUCCAGUCCUUUGGCCAUUGUGAAAUUUCACUUUAUUCCAUGGUGAACAUAGAAUUAAUCCUUGGGGAAUAAUGAACAAAGAAUUUCUUCUCCAUAAUUGUCGAGUCCACUGCUUUAUAUAAAGGAUUAGAUCAAGUUCCAUUAUUGUGUGGUCCACUGCCUGAAUUCUUACUCAUUUUGACUACAAUUGGGUUUCAUAGUAACUGGAACAAAGAGGUUGACUAAUGGUUUUGUUGACUCCAAAGAACUGUAGGUUGAAAAUCCUCACUGUAACUAUGAGGGGAAAAUCUAUUUUUCCUUAUAAUUCUGACCAAUUCUGAUUCAUGUCUUUGGAGCUAUAAUUUGCAUAGCAGAAAGUGUCUGGAAAAUUUUAAAUUCUCUUCUUGGUAGAUUAAAGCUUUCAUUGAGACAGAUUCCACAUGUCUCAGUUAAUGCUGUCUGUAUAGCCUUAAGGACUAUCUUGUCAGAUAUUAAUUACUUCUUUUUGUAAAGCUUCUAUCACUAAGUCUUAGCCAUAUCUAAUAAAAAGGUACAAAUGUCACUCAUCUUUUAAUUGAGGAAUUUUAUCCUCAUAUAUUUAAUGUAAAUGUGUGUUUGGGUUUAAGUUCGUAAUUUCACCACUCUACCUGUAUUUGUCUGUUUCACCUUCCUUCUAAAUAACUGAGUAAGAUAGGUACUCCCUUCCCCUCACCAUUACCUUAAAAAUUAUAUCCACUUUCACCCUUAGUGUUUAACAGAGAUCGUAAUAUGCAUUCUAGACAUAAUGAGCUCUAAUGUUGAUUAGUAUUAUUGCCAUUUCCUCUGUCGACACAAAGAUUCUUCACCUCACUCAUCUCCACCUGUGUUGUAUGCUAAUGCUGUCAUGUGUUGUAACAUAAAUGUAUCAGAGGCCAUAAGAAAGUGUUAAUAUUCCUUUAAUAGCCAGUAUUCAUUUAAAUAGACCUGUGCAGUUAUCAACUUAAUUCUUUUUCUCUUCUUUAUUGUGGUAAAGCACAUAAAACAUAAAAUUUUCCAUUCAACCACUUAAAACGUGCAAUUAUAUGCCAUUAUGCACACUUACGAUGCCGUGCAGCCACCUCUACACUCCAUUUCCAGGGCUUGUCAUUAUUCCAAAUGGAAACUUGAUACCAGUUAGACCACAGCUGACCACCACCCUGCCUUCAUUUCUGGCCACCCCUUCUGACCCUAUGGGUUUGCUUAGGUGCCUACAUCUCGUAUAAGUAGAAUCACACUAUCUUCAUAGUUCUGUGCCUUGUUCAUAUCGCCUAAGAUAAUGUUUUCAAGGUUGAAAGAAUGACUUCAGGUUCCAUUCACUUUCCAAGUAGAAUGACAUGCCAGCUGAGAUAUUCAGGAGUCCCUCGUCAUGUGUAAGGGGGAUUCCAGAACCCUCUCCAAAUAUACAAGUGACUCACAUAAAAUAGGAUCACAUUUGCAUAUAACUAUAUAUAUGUACAUAUACACACAUACAUAUAUCUGUCCUAAUCUCAUAUUUUUAUAUCAUCAACAGCUUACUUACCAUACCUGACACAAUGUAAAUAUUAUAUAAAGAGUUCUUAUUGCACUGUUUGAGGAAUGUUAUGGGAAAAAAUGUCUGUGCAUGCCCAAUACAGAUGUGUUAGUUUUCCACAUAUUUUCAAUCCUUGUUGAAUCCUUGCAGAACCUGGGUUUGCCAGGGUUGGGGGUGGGUGAUCAGUCAACAGUCUGUUUCAUAACCUAUGUCAACUCUUGUCCUGGGAGUAUGACUCAUUGUGGAGUCCUUGUUUACUCCAUUUGGUUUAUUUCUACAUUUAAACUCUUGUGAAUGACACUGUUGAUAGUGGCCAGCAGGUGCCCGUGUCCCCGUUUAACUCUUCUGCUGUAGAUUGGAUGCUUGUGCCUCUCUAGAGCUCAUAUAGUGAACUAACCCUCAAGGUGAGUAUAUUAGGACAUGGGGAAGCCAUUCAGUUAAAGCCAAAAAGUGGGAGUCUCAGUGAUUAUGUUAGUGUCCUUACUAAAAAGAUGCCAAAGGUUGGAUUAAACUCCCUCAGCCACUCAGCAGAAAGACUUUAGGAAGAAAGGGACCAUCUUGCAAGUCAGGAAAUCCCAACUUUCAGGCUUCAAAUGAUGAGAAAAUAAGAUUCUGUUGUUUGUUUGAGAGAGGGUCUUGCCAUGCAUUACUGCCUGGCCUGGUACUCACUGAGUAGCCCAAGCCAUCUUCAAACUCACAGUAAUCCUCCUGUCUCAGCUUCUGCAGUGAUGGAGUACAGGUAUGUACCACUACUCUGGGCUUGUUUUUGUUUUUAUUUUUUAAGCCAUACAAUCCUUAAUAGUUCCUUAUGGCUGUUUCUCGUGACUGAUCCCUACCUAGAGGAGGAAUCACGGGAUCAAGUGGAUCAAACCACACACUGUCUUCCGCAGUGGUCACAGCUUUGUUCAUUCACCAUGUUCGUGUUUUCGUUCUCCUGACAGUGACUUUGGUUCAGCAAUGUUUCUUUGUUGUUGUUUUUGUGUUUGUGUUUUUGUCUAUUUUGAAGUCAUUGCCUGUGUCUGUGGUGUCAGUUUCACAAAGGUCAUUUCCAAAUUGAACCCCAUGAAGUCUCCCUGUGUGUUAUUCUCCUAAUAAUUUCCUUCUAAGAAGUUUUCCUGAUUCAGAUCAGAUUCACUCAAAAUAAGUUUCGUUUGAGUGUCUGGCUUCACUCUUUCACAGGUGGCUCCCUAGUUCUUCUGGCACGGUUGGCUGGGAAUACAACCCUCUCCCCAUUGCAUGGAUUCAGGCCCUUGCUGAAAAUCAGUAGACUCUCUAGAGUCCAUUAUCUGGAGUCUAGCACCAUACUCCUUUUUUAUUCCUGUAGCAUCAUACUAAUAUUUUGAAUCAGAGAGUGUGAUGGCACCAACUUUGCUCUCUUUCCAGAUUACUUUGGCAAUAGGGGCUCCCUUGAGAUUCGAAGUGAGUUUUAGGAUGGAUUUAUCUGGUUCUACGGAGUUAUCAUUGGGAUGUUAAUGAAUUUUUAUAUCACUUUGAGUAAUAUUGGCAACUCAACAAUAUUAAGUUUUACAAUGCAAUAACCUAAGCUAGCUCUUCACUGUGUCUCCCUUUCGGCUCUGCUGUAAUUUUCAGCAUAUAAAUUCUUUGCCUCCUAGGUAAGUUUAUCCCUAAGUAUUUUAUCCUCCUCAAUACAAUUGUAAUGAAGAUUGCUUUCUUCCAUUCAUUUUCUGCUAUUUGUCCUUACAAUUCAGCAAUACGGCUGAGUUUCUCAUGUUCCUGUUGUAGCCUGUGAUUGUACUAAGUUCAUCUAUUAGUUCCAAUAGUUCAGAUGGAAAAUAGCUAGGGACCCAUAAGUGUGGGAUCUCACCACCCAGAAACAAACACUGUCCUUUAUAACACACAUCCUCUUCUUCCUUCCUUCUCCCUAGUUGCUCUGCCCAGUACUUCCAAUACUACAUAGAGUGCACACAACUCCUCCUCUUCCUCCUCCUCUUCCUCUUCCUUCCCUUCCCUUCCCUUCCUCCUUUUCCUCUUCCUCUCCUCCUCCCCCUCCUCCUCCUCCUCCUCCUCCACUUCCUCCUCCUUCCCUUCCUCCUCCUCUUCUUCCUCCUCCUCUUCCUCUCCUCCCCCCUUCCUCCUCCUCCACUUCCUCCUCCUUCCCUUCCUCCUCCUCUUCUCCCUCCUCCUCUUCCUCUCCUCCUCCCCCUCCUCUUCCUCUUCCUCCUCCUCCUCUUUUUCCUUCUCCUCCUCCUCUUCCUCUUCUUCUUCCUCCUCCUUGAUUUUAGAGAGAACCACUUUCGCCCUUCCCCACUGGGUGUAGCACUACUUUUAUGGUAACCUUUCACAUCUCAGUUUGGAUGUUGAGGAGUCAUGGGAGAACAUUUAAUUUUGCCAUAUUCUUUAUGUGCAUCGAUUGACAAUCAUGUGCCUCUUCACUUCGUUCUGUUAACGUAGUGUAAUUUUGUUGAUGGAUCUGCAUAUCUCAAAAACAUCCCUGCCUCCUGAGAAAAAUUCCAUCUGAUCCUGUUGUGUAAGGAGGCAAUGUUCUGGUGAAUUAGUUGCCGGUAAUCUGCUGAGAAGUCUGGCAUCAGUACUCACAGGGGUAAUUGUUUGGAGAGACGUGGGGGUUGGUAGACUCUUUGGCUCUGGUGUCAGUAUAAUGCUGAUCUCAUAGAAUGAGUUAGGAAAUGUGCCCUUAGCUUCAGUGUUUUGGAAGAGUUUCAAAAGGACUGAUAGCAAGCCAUGCAUUCCGUAAGGAUGAGGAAAUGUUUAGAAAAUGUGCUUUGGGGUGAUUUUGCCCUUGUGCAAACAUCACUAACUGUGCAUACACAGACCUGAAUGGUAUUGGUCAAUCACUUGACAUGGCCUCUUGAUGCAAUAAAGAGGUGAUACAAGCACGGGAUGCAGGAGGCUGCUGCCAGAGCCACAGAGUCUGUUCUAUAGUCAGCUGCUUCUUAUCCGUGGGGGGAAUACACUCUAAAUUAUGAUUAAUAAGCAGGAUAAAGGAAUAAUCAGUCCUAUUAUUUAUGGUCAUCUUCAAAUGACGGACUGUACAUAUUUGUGCGUGCGUACAUGUGUGCUUGGGGGUGUGCAUGCAUGUAGAGGCCAGAAGAAGACAACCUUUAGGUGUUUUAUUUAGGACCCAUCUGCAGAGUUUCUCAUCUUCCUGGAAUUGGGUAAUUAGGCUGAACUAGACUGGCACUGAGCCCUGGGAAUCCACUUGUCUCUACCUCCCUUUCCAGCACUGAAACCACAGGACAUCACACCACACUCUUCUUUUCUAUGUGGGCAGGGAGCUCAGGUCUGAUGCUUUCGUAGCAAACACUUUACCAACCAAACUACGUCCCCAGCUCCUGCUUACAUUACUUUGUACACCAGGUACUACAGUAGCCGUGUUAGCACCACUUUUCCAGUAUAGCUAGCUCGCCUAUCUGGCCUUUCAGAUUCUCAUAGUCAAGAUGUCAGCUAAGCACAUAGUGACUGGAAGGCAAAUGAUGCCAGCCAGCUCUCCUUUAACAAAACCAAUUUCGCUAUUUCCCUAUGGGGCCCCAGAAGGGAAUUCUGUACCCCAGUUCAGCUGGAAGCAAAAAAGGAAGAUAAUCGUCCCAGUCCCUUAUGUUGGGGUGUGUAGAGGGCCGCUUUAACAUUCGCCACCACAAGAUGGCGCUGGCUUCCACUGUGCCCCACGUGGAAGGCCAGGAUAGCUUCCGCCAUUACAAGAUGGCGCUAGCCUCCGCCGCGCCAGCCAACUUCCUUUCAGGAAGUUAACUGUGUGCGCAUGUACAAGAGUGCCUUCGUGCCAGGUCUUUGCCCACUCUGGGGCGUGCCUUAUGAGAUCAUGGGUGAGCGACCAAUCAGGUGUGGAUGCGCCGCGCUAGGGUGUAUAUAAGCCAUGCCAUGCGGGCGCGCGGGGCUCUCCUUAAGAUUUAAUAAAAGUUUUGGCUGCCGCAAGGAUUCGUAUGUCCCCGCGUGUUUUCUUGCUGGCGAGGUCGCACGUGGGACGGGGUGGAUGAUUCUGGUUAUUUUAUGAAUUAUAGGUAUGUUGUCAUUUUAAGAAAUACUUUACAAAUGUUGUAGCUUUGGACAGGGAGGAAACUAGAGAGCUCAGAUUCAGGGAUUUCUACCUUUCCUUUCCUGUUCUCUAUCCUUCCUUCUUAGGCAAAGAAGAGGGGGGUGGAAGAAAAAAGGGGAUAUAGUAAUAUCAAAGAAAUUAGAGGAAUAAACAAAUAGGGAUAGGUUAACAAAUUUACUAUUAAACAAAACAUUACAUAGCCAUACCUUACAUUGGUAGAAAUCUUUAUAAUUGAUGCAAAGUUAAAGUUAUAAUGUUUUACAUUGGUAAGAAUUUAUUUUAUACAGAUUGGUAUGGAUUUCUUAUAUUGAUACAAAAAUUGAGAUUAAUAUUGUUACUCUUAGAUAGGCACUGUGCCUAUGCACCUCAUUUGAGAAUACAAAGCUUAGACCCAGUCCUUCUAUAACUGCUAUUACAAACUGUUCUUAGAUGAUUAAGCAAAAUGAGUUAAGGGCCAGAUAGCAAACUCAUGGUUCUUAGUUAACUACAAAAGGGUGUUUUUGAGAUAUUUCAAUUAGUAAUGGCUGAGAAUAGUCAAUGAUUAACAGUUCAGAACUGCUUUGCAUAGAUAGAUAGUCUUCAAAGGCAUCAAAAGUCCACAGAAUACAACAUUUAUGGCUGUUUUAUUUAUUAAAGAUCAGUUGAUUAAAGACAUGUCUAUGCCUGAAAGCAUCCCUUUCUUAGAUUCAAAGAAGAAAUUAAACAUCAAUGGAGUUCCUCCAGUUGUGGCGAGACAGUCACUAGGCAAGAAUUGCCUCAAUUCAUCUACAGACAAAAAUACUGUCCAGAAAAGGACACACAAUGCGGAAUAGUCGACUGACAGCUCUGCCAAGGCAGGGUAAUCAGUCCUUCAAAAUUCUACAUCGCAAAGGUCUGUCAGACAAUCCUGGGCCAGAAGGUUGAAGAUUGAUGCUCCACCAUUUUGAGGAAUGAGAGACUGUCCAGGAAGUCAACUGUCUGUACAAAUUGGUUAAGUUUUGGAAAUUAUGUUUUAUGUGUCUUUAUUUUCAGGUAAUGUUUAAGUAGUUCUCAGAUUCCUGACCAGGUCAAAGACUGGUUGUAGUCUUAUAGAUAACCCAAGUUGUUUAGCAAUGAGAAAGAUGAUAUAGAUUUGAGCGGAUGGUUUUCAGAUGAUAUACAAGCUAAAACCAGGACGUAAUUUAGGUGUAGAGUUGUAAGCCUUUUAAGUUCGUAUAGAUGGUAGAGUGCUUUAUCUAAGUUGACAAAAUUGAUAGACGGGGUGUAUCUUAUACCUUACAAAUUACAUAAUUGUAGUAAUUGUACUCAAUUUAUAUCUGAGAGAAAAAAGCCUUUUAAUUGGACAAAAAAGGGGAAAUGUUGUAGAUUGCCCUGGUGCUGUUUGUAUUUUGAUGCUAAUUCUGCUUCCUCAAGAGGGGCUGCCCUGAUGAAGAGUGGAUCAUGUACUCAGGCUUAUUGGGGUUGGAGCUUGACCACAAUACCAUCAUAACUGUAAAUCAAGCUACAGUGUCACUAAAAGACAGAAAUCUUCAGCUGCCUUGUGUUGUGGGACCACCACUGUAUAAGCAAUCUGUCAUUAACCAAGGUGAUGUUACAAGGCCACUCAGGAACUUGGUGCGGGAAACCCGACCUUGAUACACAUGGCCUGAUCUCAGCAGUUUUCUGGAGCCUUGACAUAAACCUCUGAUCGAGACAGCCACCGAGAGCUAAGAAGACAAUCCUCUCUGAUACCUCAUUGUCCAGCUGUGCAUUAUUUCAUUACUAACUUGUAGGGAUUUUAUAGGUAUUUUUCAUUUUCCACACACUCCCAGCUGGCUCCCUUAAACUUGACUCUCUUCAUGCUUAUAAUUUAUAAGCGUGAAGGUAAAUAUGGUUUUUCAAACUAUGGAAAGGGAGAAAACAAUGAGCCAAAGAGAGGCUAGAAGGGGUCUUGUGGUGCCAAGAAGUACUAGUCUGCACUUUUACAUGUGAGUGUGGAGAAGAAUGGUCUCCAUGCUGGCAGACCGGUUUGCCGUUACUUUAAAGAUCCUCCCCGAGUUAAUAAUGAUGUUCAGUCUCUCACUGCUUCUGGGAUGCUCAUUCCCAGAAUGGCGGCGGCUUUUAGAAUACAGUCAUGAAUUGCUUGGUACUUUCUCCCAUGGCUAGUGGAGAAGUCUGUGUGCUCUCCCCUGGAACCUGGAGAGUCUGUGACUGACUGCCUCAGUCAGCGCAGUAAACCGCCAUGUACAGCGGCCUUUUUCUCUCGGGCCACCUGUGCUUAGAACUUAGUCACCGUGCUGCAUAGAAGCCCAGGGCGCCACAGAGAGAGGUCAUGUGAUGUUACGGCAGCCAAGACCAACGCCGAGACCAACAUCCCAGGCUAAGUUCACAGCCAAUUUACUAAGUUACUAAGUUACGGGUUACCAUUACUGCAUUAACAUUAACUGACCCUGUGUGCAAAAGACCCCUUAUAUAUUUCCAACUUUCAGAACUUCGUCAUCCCCGAGUCUUUGAGCGCUCCCAGCUGGGGCCACAAAUUGUAUGGAGCCAAGACAAACCAUCCCCGCAGUUCUUCUCUGAAUCCCUAACCCGCCCAGUCUGUGAGCAUAAUUAAAUGGCUGUUUUAGGCAAUCCAA